GAUUAACGCUGGCGGCGUGCCUAACACAUGCAAGUCAAACGGACCUUUAAUGUUGAGAAUUCCGAUCCUUCGGGCGUCUCAAUAUUAAUGGUUAGUGGCGGACGGGUGAGUAACACGUUGGUACCUGCCCUCUAGUGGGGGAUAACUGCCCGAAAGGGUGGCUAAUACCGCAUGUGAUCCACGGAUCAAAGCAGCAAUGCGCUCCGGCGUCACCUUGAGAUGGCCUUGCGGUGCAUUCGCUAGUUGGUGGGGUAACGACCCACCAAGGCGACGAUGCAUAGCCGACCUGAGAGGGUGAUCGGCCACACUGGGACUGAGACACGGCCCAGACUCCUACGGGAGGCAGCAGUAGGGAAUCUUCCACAAUGGACGAAAGUCUGAUGGAGCAACGCCGCGUGAGUGAUGAAGGUUUUCGGAUCGUAAAACUCUGUUGUAAGGGAAGAACACGUACGAGAGGGAAUGCUCGUACCUUGACGGUACCUUACGAGAAAGCCACGGCUAACUACGUGCCAGCAGCCGCGGUAA
rnacentral:rRNA from 1 species